CGCAUCUGUGCAUGCAGCAUAUCAAUAAGCGGAGGAAAAGAAACUAACAAGGAUUCCCUUAGUAACGGCGAGUGAGGCGGGAAGAGCUCAAAUUUGAAAUCUUCAAGGUUUUACCUUGACGAAUUGUAGUUUAAAGAAGUGUUUUCUGUUGAAGUUUUGGUAAAAGUUCUUUGGAAUAGGACAUCAUAGGAGGGUGAGAAUCCCGUAUUUGACCAUUACUUUCAACUGUGUGAUACACUUUCAAGGAGUCGGAUUGUUUGGGAAUGCAGUCCAAAAUGGGUGGUAAAUUUCAUCUAAAGCUAAAUAUUGGCGAGAGACCGAUAGCGAACAAGUACCGUGAGGGAAAGAUGAAAAGAACUUUGAAAAGAGAGUUAAACAGUACGUGAAAUUGUCAAAAGGGAAGCGUUCGACACCAGUGUUGUUUUCUCGAAAAUCAAUUAAAAAGAGUUAGAUUUUGUUGUGUAUUGACCUUAACAGCUUGCAUUUCAAUUUUCUUGCUUUUUUUAAUGCACUUUUCGUUUAACAAGUCAACAUCAGUUUCUUUUGUUGUAAGAAGGUCAUUGGAAGGUGGCUUUCUUUUCGGAGAAAGUGUUUAUAGCCUUUGACUCCUGCAAUCGGAGAGACUGAGGUCUGCAGCGUAGAUCCUUCGGGGUUAGAUACAUUUGUGCUAAGUUAUAGCUUUUAUAGACAACUUGUUGACUAUGAUUAGUCUUGUAGCUUACUCGCUUAUGCUAUUUUACCUACGCUUAGGAUGUUGAUGUGAUACUGCGAGC
rnacentral:rRNA from 1 species